rnacentral:rRNA from 1 species
UACAGAGGGGGCAAGCGUUGUUCGGAAUUACUGGGCGUAAAGGGCGCGUAGGCGGCCUGUUAAGUCGAACGUGAAAUCCCCGGGCUCAACCCGGGAACUGCGUCCGAAACUGGCAGGCUCGAAUUCGGGAGAGGGAUGCGGAAUUCCUGGUGUAGCGGUGAAAUGCGCAGAUAUCAGGAGGAACACCAAUGGCGAAGGCAGCUCGCUGGGACGUGACUGACGCUGAGACGCGAAAGCGUGGGGAGCAAACAGG